AUUGAACGCUGGCGGCAUGCUUUACACAUGCAAGUCGAACGGUAACAGGCCUUCGGGUGCUGACGAGUGGCGAACGGGGGAGUAAUGCAGCGGAACGUACCCAGAGGUGGGGGAUAACGCAGCGAAAGCUGUGCUAAUACCGCAUGUGAUCUGAGGAUGAAAGCGGGGGACCGAGCAGCAAUGUUUGGCCUCGCGCCUUUGGAGCGGCCGAUGUCGGAUUAGCUAGUUGGUGGGGUAAAGGCCUACCAAGGCGACGAUCCGUAGCUGGUCUGAGAGGACGACCAGCCACACUGGGACUGAGACACGGCCCAGACUCCUACGGGAGGCAGCAGUGGGGAAUUUUGGACAAUGGGCGCAAGCCUGAUCCAGCAAUGCCGCGUGCGGGAAGAAGGCCUUCGGGUUGUAAACCGCUUUUGGCAGGAACGAAACGGUGUCCGCUAAUACCGGGCGCUACUGACGGUACCUGAAGAAUAAGCACCGGCUAACUACGUG
rnacentral:rRNA from 1 species